GACGUAGGGCGCGAGCGUUGUCCGGAUUUAUUGGGCGUAAAGAGCUCGUAGGCGGCUCAUCGCGUCUGCCGUGAAAACCCGCAGCUCAACUGCGGGCUUGCGGUUGAUACGGGUGGGCUGGAGUUCGGUAGGGGAGACUGGAAUUCCUGGUGUAGCAGUGAAAUGCGUAGAUAUCAGGAGGAACACCGAUGGCGAAGGCAGGUCUCUGGGCUGACACUGACGCUCAUGCACGAAAGCGUGGGGAGCAAACAGG
rnacentral:rRNA from 1 species